UUCUGCCCUAUCAACUUGUUGGUAAGGUAUUGGCUUACCAAGGUUGCAACGGGUAACGGGGAAUCAGGGUUCGAUUCCGGAGAGGGAGCCUGAGAAACGGCUACCACAUCCAAGGAAGGCAACAGGCGCGCAAAUUACCCAAUCUAGACAGUAGGAGGUGGUGAAGAGAAUUACUAGGUGGUGACUCAAUGAGUUACCAGUUUGGAAUGAACGUAACUUAAGAAAUUCGAUGAGAAACAACUGGGGGGCAAGUCCUGGUGCCAGCAGCCGCGGUAAUUCCAGCUCCAGUAGUUUGCUUUAAAGUUGUUGCGUUUAAAACGCUCGUAGUUGGAUCACGCAGCAGUGCUCAGUAAUCUGCUGCCUGACUUCGACCAAUGAAACCACUUCGGUGGCCUUUCGGUAGCUGUCGACAGCAGAUGCCAACGCUGAGCACUGCUAGUUGCAUGUGAGAUGAAUUGUUGGCCUUUAUUGAGCCGGUAUUCUCGUCUUGCAGAGUGUGCCUUGAAUAAAACAGAGUGCUUAAAGCAGGUCAUUGCCUGAAUGUUAUAGCAUGGAACGAACAAUCGUGUAUAUGUAUGCAUCCUUGAUUGGUGAUGAGCCUUAGGUUUGUCGUUAGUCAGGAUACAUACGGCACCCACCAAAAUAUGGCUGUUGGUUCCAUAUACGGUGAUGAUUAAAAGGAGCGGUUGGGGGCAUCGGUAUUUGGCCGCGAGAGGUGAAAUUCUUAGACCGGCCAAGGACUAACAAAUGCAAAGGCACUUGUCUAGACCGUUUCCAUUAAUCAAGAACGAAAGUGGGAGGUUCGAAGACGAUCAGAUACCGUCCUAGUUCCCACUGUAAACUAUGCCGACCUGGGAUCAGUUUAGAGAUGUUACAAGCUCUAGGUUGGUCCCCCUGUGAAACCA
rnacentral:rRNA from 1 species